rnacentral:rRNA from 1 species
AUUGAACGCUGGCGGCAGGCCUAACACAUGCAAGUAGAGCGACCGGCGGGCGGGUGAGUAAUGUCUGAGAAACUGCCUGAUGGAGGGGGAUAAGUACUGGAAACGGUAGCUAAUAACGCAUCCAAUCAGAUGUGACCAGAUGGGAUGAGCUAGUCGGGGGGGUAACGGCUCACCUAGGCGACGCUCCCGAGCUGGUCAGAGUGGAUGACCAGCCACACGGGAACUGUGAGACGGUCCAGAUGCCUACGGGAGGCAGCAGUGGGGAAUAUUGCACAAUGGGCGAAAGCCUGAUGCAGCCAUGCCGCGUGUGGGAAGAAGGCCGUCGGGUUGUAAAGCACGUUCAGCGGGGAGGCGUUACCCGCAGAAGAAGCACCGGCUAACUCCGUGCCAGCAGCCGCGGUAAUAC